rnacentral:rRNA from 1 species
UACGUAGGGGGCAAGCGUUGUCCGGAAUCAUUGGGCGUAAAGCGCGUGUAGGCGGUCCGGUAAGUCGGCUGUGAAAGUCCAGGGCUCAACCCUGGGAUGCCGGUCGAUACUGCCGGACUAGAGUUCGGAAGAGGCGAGUGGAAUUCCAGGGUGUAGCGGUGAAAUGCGUAGAUAUCUGGAGGAACACCGGUGGCGAAGGCGGCAUCCUGGACCGGCAUUGACGCUGAGGCGCGAAAGCUAGGGGAGCAAACGGG